AGACCCGAAACCCGGUGAUCUAGCCAUGGGCAGGUUGAAGGUUGGGUAACACUAACUGGAGGACCGAACCGACUAAUGUUGAAAAAUUAGCGGAUGACCUGUGGCUGGGGGUGAAAGGCCAAUCAAACCGGGAGAUAGCUGGUUCUCCCCGAAAGCUAUUUAGGUAGCGCCUCGUGAAUUCAUCUCCGGGGGUAGAGCACUGUUUCGGCUAGGGGGCCAUCCCGGCUUACCAACCCGAUGCAAACUGCGAAUACCGGAGAAUGUUAUCACGGGAGACACACGGCGGGUGCUAACGUCCGUCGUGAAGAGGGAAACAACCCAGACCGCCAGCUAAGGUCCCAAAGUCAUGGUUAAGUGGGAAACGAUGUGGGAAGGCCCAGACAGCCAGGAUGUUGGCUUAGAAGCAGCCAUCAUUUAAAGAAAGCGUAAUAGCUCACUGGUCGAGUCGGCCUGCGCGGAAGAUGUAACGGGGCUAAACCAUGCACCGAAGCUGCGGCAGCGAACGUAUCACUUAAAGCGAUUCAGCGGGUUACGAUUGACGGAGCGAAGCGACGUCAAAGCGUAUACAAAGUCGAGUCGGUUUAAGGAUACGUUCGUUGGGUAGGGGAGCGUUCUGUAAGCCUGUGAAGGUGUGUCGUGAGGCAUGCUGGAGGUAUCAGAAGUGCGAAUGCUGACAUAAGUAACGAUAAAGCGGGUGAAAAGCCCGCUCGCCGGAAGACCAAGGGUUCCUGUCCAACGUUAAUCGGGGCAGGGUGAGUCGACCCCUAAGGCGAGGCCGAAAGGCGUAGUCGAUGGGAAACGGGUUAAUAUUCCCGUACUUGGUGUUACUGCGAAGGGGGGACGGAGAAGGCUAUGUUGGCCGGGCGACGGUUGUCCCGGUUUAAGCGUGUAGGUGUGUGUUCCAGGUAAAUCCGGUUCACUUUAACACUGAGGCGUGACGACGAGGCACUACGGUGCUGAAGCAACAAAUGCCCUGCUUCCAGGAAAAGCCUCUAAGCAUCAGGUAACAUCAAAUCGUACCCCAAACCGACACAGGUGGUCAGGUAGAGAAUACCAAGGCGCUUGAGAGAACUCGGGUGAAGGAACUAGGCAAAAUGGUGCCGUAACUUCGGGAGAAGGCACGCUGACACGUAGGUGAAGUGAUUUACUCAUGGAGCUGAAGUCAGUCGAAGAUACCAGCUGGCUGCAACUGUUUAUUAAAAACACAGCACUGUGCAAACACGAAAGUGGACGUAUACGGUGUGACGCCUGCCCGGUGCCGGAAGGUUAAUUGAUGGGGUCAGCGCAAGCGAAGCUCCUGAUCGAAGCCCCGGUAAACGGCGGCCGUAACUAUAACGGUCCUAAGGUAGCGAAAUUCCUUGUCGGGUAAGUUCCGACCUGCACGAAUGGCGUAAUGAUGGCCAGGCUGUCUCCACCCGAGACUCAGUGAAAUUGAACUCGCUGUGAAGAUGCAGUGUACCCGCGGCAAGACGGAAAGACCCCGUGAACCUUUACUAUAGCUUGACACUGAACAUUGAGCCUUGAUGUGUAGGAUAGGUGGGAGGCUUUGAAGUGUGGACGCCAGUCUGCAUGGAGCCGACCUUGAAAUACCACCCUUUAAUGUUUGAUGUUCUAACGUGGACCCGUGAUCCGGGUUGCGGACAGUGUCUGGUGGGUAGUUUGACUGGGGCGGUCUCCUCCUAAAGAGUAACGGAGGAGCACGAAGGUUGGCUAAUCCUGGUCGGACAUCAGGAGGUUAGUGCAAUGGCAUAAGCCAGCUUGACUGCGAGCGUGACGGCGCGAGCAGGUGCGAAAGCAGGUCAUAGUGAUCCGGUGGUUCUGAAUGGAAGGGCCAUCGCUCAACGGAUAAAAGGUACUCCGGGGAUAACAGGCUGAUACCGCCCAAGAGUUCAUAUCGACGGCGGUGUUUGGCACCUCGAUGUCGGCUCAUCACAUCCUGGGGCUGAAGUAGGUCCCAAGGGUAUGGCUGUUCGCCAUUUAAAGUGGUACGCGAGCUGGGUUUAGAACGUCGUGAGACAGUUCGGUCCCUAUCUGCCGUGGGCGCUGGAGAACUGAGGGGGGCUGCUCCUAGUACGAGAGGACCGGAGUGGACGCAUCACUGGUGUUCGGGUUGUCAUGCCAAUGGCACUGCCCGGUAGCUAAAUGCGGAAGAGAUAAGUGCUGAAAGCAUCUAAGCACGAAACUUGCCCCGAGAUGAGUUCUCCCUGAGACUUAAAGUCUCCUGAAGGAACGUUGAAGACG
rnacentral:rRNA from 1 species